CCUACGGGGAGCAGCAGUGGGGAAUAUUGCGCAAUGGGCGAAAGCCUGACGCAGCGACGCCGCGUGGGGGAUGAAGGUCUUCGGAUCGUAAACCUCUGUCAGCAGGGAAGAACGGUCACUGUGCUAAUCAGCAGUGAAUUGACGGUACCUGCUCAGGAAGCACAGGCUAACUCCGUGCCAGCAGCCGAGGUAAUACGGAGGGCGCGAGCGUUAAUCGGAAUUACUGGGCGUAAAGCGCUCGUAGGCGGUAUGUCAGGUCACGUGUGAAAGCCCCGCGCUCAACGUGGGAACUGCCGUUGCAACUGGCAGACUGGAGUGAGGGAGAGGAUAGUGGAAUUCCAGGUGUAGGAGUGAAAUCCGUAGAUAUCGGGAGGAACAUCAGUGGCGAAGGCGACUAUCUGGAACAUAACUGACGCUGAGGAGCGAAAGCGUGGGUAGCAAACAGGAUUAGAUACCCGUGUAGUC
rnacentral:rRNA from 1 species